rnacentral:rRNA from 1 species
GAUGAACGCUGGCGGCGUGCCUAAUACAUGCAAGUCGAGCGAACGGACGAGAAGCUUGCUUCUCUGAUGUUAGCGGCGGACGGGUGAGUAACACGUGGAUAACCUACCUAUAAGACUGGGAUAACUUCGGGAAACCGGAGCUAAUACCGGAUAAUAUUUUGAACCGCAUGGUUCAAAAGUGAAAGACGGUCUUGCUGUCACUUAUAGAUGGAUCCGCGCUGCAUUAGCUAGUUGGUAAGGUAACGGCUUACCAAGGCAACGAUGCAUAGCCGACCUGAGAGGGUGAUCGGCCACACUGGAACUGAGACACGGUCCAGACUCCUACGGGAGGCAGCAGUAGGGAAUCUUCCGCAAUGGGCGAAAGCCUGACGGAGCAACGCCGCGUGAGUGAUGAAGGUCUUCGGAUCGUAAAACUCUGUUAUUAGGGAAGAACGUAUGUGUAAGUAACUGUGCACAUCUUGACGGUACCUAAUCAGAAAGCCACGGCUAACUACGUGCCAGCAGCCGCGGUAAUACGUAGGUGGCAAGCGUUAUCCGGAAUUAUUGGGCGUAAAGCGCGCGUAGGCGGUUUUUUAAGUCUGAUGUGAAAGCCCACGGCUCAACCGUGGAGGGUCAUUGGAAACUGGAAAACUUGAGUGCAGAAGAGGAAAGUGGAAUUCCAUGUGUAGCGGUGAAAUGCGCAGAGAUAUGGAGGAACACCAGUGGCGAAGGCGACUUUCUGGUCUGUAACUGACGCUGAUGUGCGAAAGCGUGGGGAUCAAACAGGAUUAGAUACCCUGGUAGUCCACGCCGUAAACGAUGAGUGCUAAGUGUUAGGGGGUUUCCGCCCCUUAGUGCUGCAGCUAACGCAUUAAGCACUCCGCCUGGGGAGUACGACCGCAAGGUUGAAACUCAAAGGAAUUGACGGGGACCCGCACAAGCGGUGGAGCAUGUGGUUUAAUUCGAAGCAACGCGAAGAACCUUACCAAAUCUUGACAUCCUUUGACAACUCUAGAGAUAGAGCCUUCCCCUUCGGGGGACAAAGUGACAGGUGGUGCAUGGUUGUCGUCAGCUCGUGUCGUGAGAUGUUGGGUUAAGUCCCGCAACGAGCGCAACCCUUAAGCUUAGUUGCCAUCAUUAAGUUGGGCACUCUAAGUUGACUGCCGGUGACAAACCGGAGGAAGGUGGGGAUGACGUCAAAUCAUCAUGCCCCUUAUGAUUUGGGCUACACACGUGCUACAAUGGACAAUACAAAGGGCAGCGAAACCGCGAGGUCAAGCAAAUCCCAUAAAGUUGUCCUCAGUUCGGAUUGUAGUCUGCAACUCGACUACAUGAAGCUGGAAUCGCUAGUAAUCGUAGAUCAGCAUGCUACGGUGAAUACGUUCCCGGGUCU